rnacentral:rRNA from 1 species
GGGUCAGUAGGUUGGUCGUGCCACCGGUACGUACUGGUCUCACUGAUUCCUCCUUCCUGAAGAACCGUAAUGCCAUUAAUUUGGUGUUGCGGGGAAACAGGACUGUUACUUUGAAAGAAUUAGAGUGUUUAAAGCAAGCUAACGCUUGAAUACAUUAGCAUGGAAUAAUGAAAUAGGACGAUCGAUCCUAUUUUGUUGGUUCCUAGGAUUGACGUA